ensembl:lncRNA
CACAUGCAUGCUUGGAGCAAUGUUUAAGCGAGGCUUGGAGACUCCCCAGAUGACACUGCAUUUAUAUCACCUGUGGAGGAUGCUGCUGAGGAGACGCCUUCUAUGCAGUCUACAUCUUAGACCUGUGUGAGAUGAAACUGCUCCCUCUAUCACAGUGCAAGUGCAUGGGCAUUCUGUAUCUUCAGGAUCCUCAUUGUCUCAUCAGUGAUUCUUUUGGCUGAAUCCUGACUGAAGCCAGAAGACAUGGGUGCCUGGGAAAUGCAGUAUCAAAAUUCAACAUCCUUGAAAUAUAAACCAAAGCAGGGAAGGGCGAAGUAAAUCCCAGGGCAAACAAGCCCAGAACUAACACUGUGGAGCAG